rnacentral:rRNA from 1 species
GACGAAGGGGGCUAGCGUUGUUCGGAAUUACUGGGCGUAAAGCGCGCGUAGGCGGCUUUGUAAGUUAGAGGUGAAAGCCCGGAGCUCAACUCCGGAACUGCCUUUAAAACUGCAUCGCUUGAAUCCAGGAGAGGUGAGUGGAAUUCCGAGUGUAGAGGUGAAAUUCGUAGAUAUUCGGAAGAACACCAGUGGCGAAGGCGGCUCACUGGACUGGUAUUGACGCUGAGGCGCGAAAGCCAGGGGAGCAAACGGG